rnacentral:rRNA from 1 species
AUCAACUUUCGAUGGUAGGAUAGAGGCCUACCAUGGUGGUAACGGGUAACGGGGUGUUAGGGCACGACACCGGAGAGGGAGCCUGAGAAACGGCUACCACAUCCAAGGAUGGCAGCAGGCGCGCAAAUUACCCAAUCCCGACACGGGGAGGUAGUGACAAUAAAUAACAAUACGGGGUUCUUUCGGAUCUCGUAAUUGGAAUGAGUACAAUUUAAAUCUCUUAACGAGGAACAAUUGGAGGGCAAGUCUGGUGCCAGCAGCCGCGGUAAUUCCAGCUCCAAUAGCGUAUAUUAAAGUUGCUGCAGUUAAAAAGCUCGUAGUUGAAUUUCGGGACCGAUAUAUCGGUCGUGCCUCGGUACGUACUGGUAUUUUCGGUUUCUCCCUUCUGACGAACCUUGAUGUCAUUAAUUUGGUGUCUUGGGGAAUCAGGACUGUUACUUUGAAAAAAUUAGAGUGUUUAAAGCAGGCUCACGCUUGAAUACAUUAGCAUGGAAUAAUGAAAUAGGACGUUUGAUUCUAUUUUGUUGGUUUCUAGGAUCGACGUAAUGAUUAAUAGGGAUAGUUGGGGGCAUUAGUAUUCAAUUGUCAGAGGUGAAAUUCUUGGAUUUAUUGAAGACUAACUACUGCGAAAGCAUUUGCCAAGGAUGUUUUCAUUAAUCAAGAACGAAAGUUAGGGGAUCGAAGACGAUCAGAUACCGUCGUAGUCUUAACCAUAAACUAUGCCGACUAGGGAUCGGAUGAUGUUAAUUUUUUAAUGACUCAUUCGGCGCCUUACGGGAAACCAAAGUGUUUGGGUUC